GUCAUACUUCAUGGAGCCCAGCGAGCAUCCCGGGCAAGCACUACCAGGCCGUGGGUCUGCACCUCUGGAAGGGUAUGACACUUGGCACCACACUGUUCCCUGUCCCUUCAUGGAUGUGGCCCACAUGAUGUUCCUUUCCUCUUGCAAAAGAAGUUGCUGGAAGGCCCACUGUCCAGCAGCCCCCAGGUUGCCUGGGCCACGGUGCCUUUGUGGGCCCAGCUACAAGGAGGAUUUGCAGGCUCGUGUCUGGGAGAUACUGGCCCCAGGGCCAAGUGAAGCCCGGGAUUGGUGGGCAUCUCUAGCUGGUCCCUGAGAGAGGGUGGAGGGCGCUGACAGGCCUUGGCGCUUUCGUCUGUCAACUCCAGAGGCCCUUGUGCUUGCAGCAGGGAGGCCAAGGCCAGGGCGUCUGACCCCGGCCGUUCCUCCGCACUCAGCCUCCUGCACGUGCUCACAGGUGGAGAAGCGGCGGGUCAAUCUGCCUAGGGUCCUGUCCACGCCCCCCGUGGCUGGCACCGCGUGCCACGCAUACGACCGGGAGGUCCACCUGCGUUGUGAGCUCUCACCAGGCUACUACCUGGCUGUCCCCAGCACCUUCCUGAAGGAUGUGCCAGGGGAGUUCCUGCUCCGAGUCUUCUCUACCGGGCGAGUCUCCCUUAGGUCCCAGAGGGUGGAAGGAGCCAGGAUGCACCCCCACUGCUGCUGCAGGAGCCGCUGCUGAGCUGUGUGCCGCAUCGCUACGCCCAGGAGGUGAGCCGGCUCUGCCUCCUGCCUGCGGGCACCUACAAGGUCGUGCCCUCCACCUACCUGCCGGACACAGAGGGGGCCUUCACAGUGACCAUCGCAACCAGGAUUGACAGGCCGUCCAUUCACAGCCAGGAGAUGCUGGGCCAGUUCCUCCAGGAGGU
rnacentral:sRNA from 1 species